rnacentral:rRNA from 1 species
AUUGAACGCUGGCGGCAGGCCUAACACAUGCAAGUCGAACGAGUGGCGGACGGGUGAGUAAUGUCUGGGAAACUGCCCGAUGGAGGGGGAUAACUACUGGAAACGGUAGCUAAUCCCGCAUACCAUCGGAUGUGCCCAGAUGGGAUUAGCUAGUAGGUGGGGUAACGGCUCAACUAGGCGACGAUCCCUAGCUGGUCUGAGGGGAUGACCAGCCACACUGGAACGUGGACACGGUCCAGACGCCGACGGGAGGCAGCAGUGGGGAAUAUUGGACAAGGGGCGCAAGCCUGAUGCAGCCAUGCCGCGUGUAUGAAGAAGGCCUUCGGGUUGUAAAGUACUUUCAGCGGGGAGGCGUUACCCGCAGAAGAAGCACCGGCUAACUCCGUGCCAGCAGCCGCGGUAAUUC